rnacentral:rRNA from 1 species
AGUGAACGCUGGCGGUAGGCCUAACACAUGCAAGUCGAAUGGCAGCACAGUAAGAGCUUGCUCUUACGGGUGGCGAGUGGCGGACGGGUGAGGAAUACAUCGGAAUCUACUUUUUCGUGGGGGAUAACGUAGGGAAACUUACGCUAAUACCGCAUACGACCUACGGGUGAAAGCAGGGGAUCUUCGGACCUUGCGCGAUUGAAUGAGCCGAUGUCGGAUUAGCUAGUUGGCGGGGUAAAGGCCCACCAAGGCGACGAUCCGUAGCUGGGCUGAGAGGAUGAUCAGCCAAACUGGAACUGAGACACGGGCCAGACUCCUACGGGAGGCAGCAGUGGGGAAUAUUGGACAAUGGGCGCAAGCCUGAUCCAGCCAUACCGCGUGGGUGAAGAAGGCCUUCGGGUUGUAAAGCCCUUUUGUUGGGAAAGAAAAGCAGCAGGUUAAUACCCCGCUGUUCUGACGGUACCCAAAGAAUAAGCACCGGCUAACUUCGUG